CUAGAGGGACACUCUUAGUGAACGAGUAACAAAGGCAUGUUUAUAUGCUAUGUAAUGUGUAUCUUACAUAAUUUUGGAGAAAAUAUCGUAGAUGGAUUAAUGAAAAUGUUUGUAUUAACAUAAAAUAAGACAUUUAAUGUGCCCAAGAGUAAUUAUUAUUACGUAUGUACUAUUAGUAUUAUUAUGGCAUUAAGACUAGAGGGACACUCUUAGUGAACGAGUAACAAAGACAUGUUUAUAUGCUAUGUAAUAUGUUUAUUACAUAAUUUUGAAGAAAACACAUGUAUUAUAGAUGGAUUAAUGAAAAUGUCUAUAUUAACGUAAAAUAAGACAUUUAAUGUGCCCAAGAGUGAGUCACAGACGUGUGAGCGGCCCAGGUGGACGGGUCUGGUACCAUUGAUUUCUGAGCCGAUGUACUAAACUUAGGGGAAAUUUCGCUGAAAAAAGUGCUGAAACUCUGAAUUGUACGAUUUUCACACCGGCCGAAAACCAGGGAUUCACUCUGUAUAUAAUACAUACUGGAGAUGAGAAGUAGACAAUUUUCAGAUGAUCAAACCCUCAGCCUUACCUGGAGUAUACCUGGAGAGGGUUUCAGGGAUCAAUACCCCUGUGGCCCAGUCUGUGACCAGACUGGGGAAGAUGUUUUAUCUCCUGCCAAGUCUUUUGCCUUUGUAGUGAGUGAUUUUCUUGUGUAAAUUUGGUACUAAUCCCUUUAGGAUUUCCAAGUGUAUAUUAUCAUGUAUCUUUCUCACCUGCAUUCCAGGGAAUACAAAUCAAGGGACUUCAACUGUUCCCAGUAAUUUAGAUGCUUUAUCGUCCUUGUGUGUGCCAUGAAGAGUCUAUACAUUCUCCAGGUCAGCAAUUUUGCCUGCCUUGAAAGAAGCUGUACCAUUAAGUGAAGGCUGAGCUGGAGGAAGCCAGGAGAGAGAGACUAUUUCUGAGGGAAGAAAACAGGCUUCGCAUCAGUCCUCCUGUGAAUAAGGCUGAGGACAGUGAAGAAACCUGUUAGUGGUGGAGAGGAGAGGCUCUAAACUGAGCAUUUGAAGGACAAGCAGUGGAAGCUUCUAAUACAUUUGCUGUGAUUCAAGAUCAGUGUGGGACAUCAAAUGGAGCACUGAACCAGGACGAAUGUAGGACAACCCAUGCAGCAACACAGAAAGAUGAUGGUUACCUUUCCUCUGUGGAAUAUGGCCAGUUUGUUGAAAAAAAUUUAUAUACAGUGGACCCCCGCAUAACGAUUACCUCCGAAUGCGACCAAUUAUGUAAGUGUAUUUAUGUAAGUGCGUUUGUAUGUAUAUGUUUGGGGGUCUGAAAUGGACUAAUCUACUUCACAAUAUUUCUUAUGGGAACAAAUUCGGUCAGUACUGGCAUCUGAACAUACUUCUGGAGUGAAAAAAUAUCGUUAACCGGGGGUCCACUGUAUAUAGACGCUACCCUACUUACGAACAUUUGGACAUACGAACAGACUGCUGUGUUAGUUUCAUUCACAGUACCUCCGCAAAACCGAGUUGCGUGCCUUCUGCAUAGUACAACAUUUUGCCGCAACCCACGCUGGGCAGCACCGAAGUCAACGGAGCUGACGAAUGAAGAUCUGAUGGAGCUGGAAGAGAUGCAGCUUAAGGAAGAGCAAGAGGAACAACAUGAAACUUUCUUCUAAAAAGUUUGAGACGAAAAUGAUGGCCGAGGCAUUUUCUCUUAUAGAGAGAGGUCUCUGUAUGUUUGAGCUUCAGGACCCCAAUAUAGAGAUUCUCAAAGGUUUCAACUGGUGUUAACAAUAACAAAAAAAGGCACAAUACCGUGACUGGAAUGAUACACAAAUAACCCGCACAUAGAAAAGAGGAGCUUACAACGACGUUUCAGACCGAAAUGUCGUCGUAAGCUCCUCUCUUCUAUGUGCGCGUUAUUUAUGUAUGGUGUUAACAAUUCUAUAUACUUAUAUACGACAAGAAGAGAAAAACGGUGCAAACUUCCUUGGACAAAUUCUUCAAACCACUGCCUUCUACCUCAAAAGCCUCUUCAGAUGUUGAAGAAUCCCAGGCUUACUUGAAGCAUUUGAUGACAAAGUGUAUGAGGUUGACUACCCUCUCCCCCAGUAGCCCCUCACAACCUCCGAUCUUCCUCUCAUCCAUCACCUCAAUUUUAUUGUACCAAUUAAAAAGGGUUGUAAGUCACAGGAUAUGAUGAAAAAUUGUGGGAUUUAUGUCCUUGACAAGUCUAGAAGAUUCUUGACUCGAAGAUGCCCUCUGCUGGCGAAGUGCGUAGUGUUUAUUUUUGCAUUUGCUGGGGCAUUGCUGCCUGUCCUCCAUGAUCUAGAGGAAUUGAAGACAAGAAGUGAAGCGUUCAAGGUGUUUAGAGAUUUUGGGCAAAAGCCAGAAUACUGUCCAGGAACCUUGGUUAGUCACCAUGCCAUUGAUCCUUGCUUUCCACAAGUACUGGAACAUUUGAAGGAAAACAAAAGAGCAGCCUGGUGCAGAGAAAGGAGGACAAUAUAUUCAAAAACAGGCUUGUGAAUCUGUUUGAUGUGGCCCAUUCAAGUGCUCUUUCCAUCAUGAAGAACAAAGAGUCUUGUUGGCUCAUUGGGAACCAGGAAGGCGCAGUGCCAUUAAUCCAUUGAUGAGAAAACAGGAAGAGAGGCAGAUGGCAAAUGGAGAUUUAUUUCCACAGAACUGGCAUCUUCCAGAGGUUUCUCUGAGAAUCCACAGGAGAGAAGGAAAUUGGAGUAUGUGGAGGUGGUAAUCCAUGAAAAAUGGAAAUCCACUGUGAAAAAAUAAGUGAACUUUGAAGCACUUUUGUAAUUUCUCACAUCAAGGACCACGAUAAUGAACUUUGACUUUCCGUGUUCACUCACAAGUGUACAUUUCACACCACUACCCUUUGCUGAUAGCUAUCUCUCAGCAGCAUUGCAAUGCUUUGUGACCCAAAGUGGUUUGGCACUUUAUAUGAAUUUUACAUUGUGUUCAUAGAAGAUUGCUAAACCUGUAGGUGUCAUAGUAAGAACAUAAGAAAGGAGAAACACUGCAGCAGGCCUGUUGACCCAUACUAGGCAGGUCCUUUACAAUUCAUCCCACUAACAAAACAUAUGCCCAACCCAAUUUUCAAUGCUACCCAAGAAAUAAGCUCUGAUGUGCAAGUCCCACUCAAAUCCAACCCCUCCCACUCAUGUACCUAUCCAAAUUAAAUUUGAAACUACCCAAAGUCCUAGCCUCAAUAACCCAACUAGGUAGACUGUUCCACUCAUCAACUACCCUAUUUCCAAACCAAUACUUUCCUAGUGGCGUUCCACAGGGAUCAGUCUUGGGCCCGUUGUUGUUUAUAUAUAUCAAUGACCUUGAUGAGGGAAUUACUAGUGAUAUAGCAAAUUCGCCGAUGACACAAAGAUAGGUAACAUAAGAACAUAAAGGGGUUGAAAUGCAAUCAUGUUACAUCCAAGGAAUGGGAGAAGGUCAAAUUCUUUGGAUCAAGCACCCAUUACCAAUAUCAAGGAAACUCACUAGGGAAGGGGAUCUGCCUUCAUGCCAGUGAAGUGCUCUCAAUCUUAAGAAUUGAAGAUAAUUUCAUUUCCUUGGAUUGAAUCAAAUUGUCACUCAUUUGCAAAUUUGACUACAGCUAUAUUGCUCCAGUCAUGACCACAAUAAUUUGUAAUGUCGAUGCAGUAAUCUUGAUUUUACUAAAAUACCAAUUUUUGUGAUUUACCCCUCUCCAGGGAGGUACUUUAAUACCAGUUAGUGAAGGGUUCUUGAGCCAAGUAAUUUGAUAUUCUCUCCCCCCCCCUUCCUUUCCUUUUCCUUGGCUACAGUCUGAUACCUUUCUAUUCCUUUACCCACUUAUGGUUUAAACAAUAGUGGGUUUAGCACUUAAAUUUUUAUUUUAAUUUAUGGUUUAGUGCUCCAAUCCUGUUAAAAUGUGGUUGGCCUAAUUUGUUAUUAUUUCAUAAAAUCAUUGGUAAACAGUACCAACAAAUUGAUGAAUUAGAUGUAUGCCACAUCUGGGUACUUUUAUUUCGUAGGCAUUACACCAGCCAGUGACCCUUGUUGGUUUAGCACUUAGUUUUGAUUGUAAUAUGCCAAUGAAUGUUUUAAUAUACAGGGACAAACAAUACUGUAUAUGAUUCCUUGCAGAAUCAUAUACCAAAGAUGGUAGAUGAGGUGAUAAGUUCCUCAAGUCUAGUAGGUGUUCAGUAUUGUAAUUUGAACACUUGGUUCUAAAAUGAGGGAUUGUAAAAUUCUGCAAGGCUGAGUUGAGUGAUUACCUCUUGUACUUUUGUCACUGAUGUAUUGAUAAAGCCAUGGGUUGAUCAAAGUCAAUGAAAUGCCUGUCGUGUUGUAGAUGUCUCACUUAUCAGCAAUACAAUUUCUUUCAGAGCUUUGAUCCCUGCAGUCGUCCACAUGCUAAUUAUUAUUAUAAUCAAAGUUACAGGCUUUCAAGAAUUUAAUAAAUGUAAUUGAAAAAUUUACUGGUAAAAAAAAAAAUUAUGGAAUUUUAAACCACCUUUCUAAACUCCUCCAUUUGCUGUAAUUAAAAAUUUACCAUUUUCUUUAAUAGUGAAUUCUAUGGGAAUUUCACACCAACUUUCAAACUUUUCCCCUAGAAUUUAGUUGUCUGUAAUUAAAAAUUUCCCUAUUUUCUUUGAUGAUAAAUUCUAUGGGAUUUGUACAUCAACUUUCAAAUUGUAAUAAUUUCCCCCCUCUUCAAGGGGGGCUCCUUGGCGUGGUGAAGAGGCUCUUGGUCUGAGGAAUUAGCCCUGUCGGUCUUCUUCCUCAGACCGAACCUAAUUACCCCCCCAUUCUCCCCUCCCCUAUCCCAUCCUCCCCUUUUUCCAUUCCUCCUCCUCCUCCUCACCCCUCCCUUUUGCCCUUCCUCUUUUUGGCCUUUGGGAUUUCUCCCACAGGCUCGCUAGUUCCUAGGUAGGGGAAAGGACACCGGGGUCCAUCCCAUUCCGUUGAGGUUCUUGGCGGUGGCGUAGUUUGCCGUGGAAUCUGGAUUGCCUGGGGAUGUCCUGAUCCCUCUCCAGUAUCCCGGAGUAGCUUUGGGUGUCUUUCGGGCGAUGGGUGUAUCUCUGGAAGCCACCUUUCGGAUUCCGGGGGUGGUGGCCGAAGGAGGUAUGCUUUGUGGCGGAUAUCCGGCCGCCCUCUCUUUUGUCCACUGAGGUAGCUCGGCAGAUGUGAGGUUGCUAUCCCGGAUUGCUGGUUUACUGGCAUGAAGGGUAGGGUAUGGCACGGGUUCCAUGCUGCAUCUGCGCUACUAGCGGUGUUGAGGUCCUCUUGGGCGCGGAGGGAGAUUUCCGGCCCUUUCAUUCCUCCUGGGAACUAUUCCUCCCCGCUCCCCCCUUUUUUUUUUUUUUAUUUUUAUUUCUUUCUUUCUUUUUUUUUUUUCUUAAAAACAAAAAGCAAAGGAGUAACCUAACCAUGGCAGCCCUAGUCCAUGAACCCACUACCCCCGGGCCCCUUCUUGAUACCGCACCCCAUUCUGACCCUGCCUUGUGUUUAGACCACUCUUCGGACACUCCU